GACGAACGCUGGCGGCGUGCCUAAUACAUGCAAGUCGAGCGGACCCUUCGGGGUCAGCGGCGGACGGGUGAGUAACACGUGGGUAAUCUGCCCAACUGACUGGAAUAACGCCUGGAAACGGGUGCUAAUGCCGGAUAGGCAACUGGUAGGCAUCUACCGGUUGGGAAAGGUGCAACUGCACCGCAGAUGGAGGAGCCCGCGGCGCAUUAGCUAGUUGGCGGGGUAACGUCGACCCAACGAGACGGUAGANCGGUAUCCGGACCUGAGAGGGUGGACGGCCACACUGGGACUGAGACACGGCCCAGACUCCUACGGGAGGCAGCAGUAGGGAAUCUUCCGCAAUGGGCGCAAGCCUGACGGAGCAACGCCGCGUGAGCGAAGAAGGCCUUCGGGUUGUAAAGCUCAGUCACUCGGGAAGAGCGGACAGGGGAGUGGAAAGCCCUCGUCGAGACGGUACCGAGAGAGGAAGCCCCGGCUAACUACGUG
rnacentral:rRNA from 1 species